rnacentral:rRNA from 1 species
GUCUAUGGCCACGCCACCCUGAACAUGCCCGAUCUCGUGAAGCUAAGCAGGGUCAGGCCUGGUUAGUGCUUGGAUGGGAGACCGCCCAAGAAGACCAGAUGCUGUAGGCA